rnacentral:rRNA from 1 species
GAAACUGCGAAUGGCUCAUUACACCAGCCUUAAUUUACUUGACCUUGACACCCUACUUGGAUAACUGUGGUAAUUCUAGAGCUAAUACAUGCACCAAAGCUCCAAUCUCCCUAGAGCGGAGCGCAUUUGUUCGCCACAAAACCAAGCGCCUCAGGGCGUUCAGUGUUGACUCAGAACAACUAAGCUGAUCGCACGGUCUUGCACCGGCGAUGUGUCUUUCAAGUGUCUGCCUUAUCAACUUUCGAUGGUAGUGUAUCUGACUACCAUGGUGAUGACGGGUAACGGAGGAUAAGGGUUCGACUCCGGAGAAGGGGCCUGAGAAAUGGCCACUACGUCUAAGGAUGGCAGCAGGCGCGCAAAUUACCCACUCUCGACGCGAGGAGGUAGUGACGAGAAAUAACGAGACCGUUCUCAUCUGAGGCCGGUCAUCGGAAUGGGUACAAUUUAAACCCUUUAACGAGUAUCUAUGAGAGGGCAAGUCUGGUGCCAGCAGCCGCGGUAAUUCCAGCUCUCAAAAUGCAUAGAAUUAUUGCUGCGGUUAAAAAGCUCGUAGUUGGAUCUGUGCUGAGCGACCGGUCUGCCCACUGGGCACGCACUGGCUCACCCGGCUUUCCCUGCCGGUCUCUCUCUGACGUUGGUUUUAACCGGCUGGCGUCAGUGGGCUGGCGAGUUUACUUUGAACAAAUCAGAGUGCUUCAAACAGGCGUCUCGCCUGAAUGUUCGUGCAUGGAAUAAUAGAAGAGGAUCACGGUCCGAUUUUAUUGGUUUUGCUGACCGAGAUAAUGGUUAACAGAGACAAACGGGGCCAUUCGUAUUGCUACGUGAGAGGUGAAAUUCUUGGACCGUAGCAAGACGGACUACAGCGAAAGCAUUUGGCAAGAAUGUCUUCAUUAAUCAAGAACGAAAGCCAGAGGUUCGAAGGCGAUCAGAUACCGCCCUAGUUCUGACCGUAAACGAUGCCAACUAGCGAUCCGCCGGCGGAUUCAUUCGCCCUGGUGGGGAGCUUCCCGGAAACGAAAGUCUUCCGGUUCCGGGGGAAGUAUGGUUGCAAAGCUGAAACUUAAAGGAAUUGACGGAAGGGCACCACCAGGAGUGGAGCCUGCGGCUUAAUUUGACUCAACACGGGGAAACUCACCCGGCCCGGACACCGUAAGGAUUGACAGAUUGAUAGCUUUUUCAUGAUUCGGUGGAUGGUGGUGCAUGGCCGUUCUUAGUUCGUGGAGCGAUUUGUCUGGUUUAUUCCGAUAACGAGCGAGACUCUGGCCUACUAAAUAGUUGGCACAUUGCCACUGUGUGCACAACUUCUUAGAGGGAUUUUCGGUGUUCAGCCGCACGAAAUUGAGCAAUGACAGGUCUGUGAUGCCCUUAGAUGUCCGGGGCUGCACGCGCGCUACACUGGCAAAAUCAGCGUGCUUGUCCUCCCCCGAAAGGGGUUGGUAAACCGAUGAAAAUUUGCCGUGAUUGGGAUCGGACAUUGCAAUUAUUGUCCGUGAACGAGGAAUCCCUUGUAAGGGCGAGUCAUCAACUCGUCCUGAAUACGUCCCUGCCCUUUGUACACACCGCCCGUCGCUGCCCGGGACUGAGCCAUUUCGAGAAAACCGGGGAUUGUUGGCCUGACGGCUCUCGGGUCGUCUAGCCGAUGAGAACCGGCUUAAUCGCACUGGUUUGAACCGGGCAAAAGUCGUAACAAGGUAGCUGUAGGUGAACCUGCAGAAGGAUCA